rnacentral:rRNA from 1 species
CAGUCGACGGCAGCACGGACUUCGGUCUGGUGGCGAGUGGCGAACGGGUGAGUAAUAUAUCGGAACGUGCCCAGUCGUGGGGGAUAACGUAGUGAAAAUUACGCUAAUACCGCAUACGAUCUAAGGAUGAAAGCGGGGGAUCGCAAGACCUCGCGCGAUUGGAGCGGCCGAUAUCAGAUUAGGUAGUUGGUGAGGUAAAGGCUCACCAAGCCAACGAUCUGUAGCUGGUCUGAGAGGACGACCAGCCACACUGGAACUGAGACACGGUCCAGACUCCUACGGGAGGCAGCAGUGGGGAAUUUUGGACAAUGGACGCAAGUCUGAUCCAGCCAUUCCGCGUGCAGGACGAAGGCCUUCGGGUUGUAAACUGCUUUUGUACAGAACGAAAAGGUCUCUAUUAAUACUGGGGGCUCAUGACGGUACUGUAAGAAUAAGCACCGGCUAACUACGUGCCAGCAGCCGCGGUAAUACGUAGGGUGCAAGCGUUAAUCGGAAUUACUGGGCGUAAAGCGUGCGCAGGCGGUUAUAUAAGACAGAUGUGAAAUCCCCGGGCUCAACCUGGGAACUGCAUUUGUGACUGUAUAGCUGGAGUGCGGCAGAGGGGGAUGGAAUUCCGCGUGUAGCAGUGAAAUGCGUAGAUAUGCGGAGGAACACCGAUGGCGAAGGCAAUCCCCUGGGCCUGCACUGACGCUCAUGCACGAAAGCGUGGGGAGCAAACAGGAUUAGAUACCCUGGUAGUCCACGCCCUAACGAUGU